rnacentral:tRNA from 1 species
GGCCUGAUAGCUCAACUAGUAGAGCACUGCAUCAGCACUGCAGAACUCAGGGUUCGAGUCCCGUUCAGGCCU